GGCUGGGAGUUUUACUAAAAAUGCUUUAGGAUAAAGUUUGCCACGCGGCGGGUGGGGGUCGUUCAUCACGAUGUGGUGGCGACAUGGGAUUUAAGAAAUUCAAACGAAUUUAAGAAAUUUAAACAGAUUUAAGAAAUUUCAACAGUUUUCAACAAUUUAAACAGAUUAGAAAAUUUAAACAACUUGAUAAGAAAAUCAUCAUCAUGGUCCCCUAACAACCUAAUAAUUUUAAAAACCAUGAUUGGGUUAUAAAAUAACGCUGAAAUUUGGGAUUUAACACGCGUUUUGCUCGCUUCACGUUUGGAUUGAGGAAGCGUGCAACGCCAGCAAAUCCAUAGGAAUCUCUUGCAUCCUUCACCUUGCUCGUCCGCAUGACACACGGCCACCGUCUGUAUGAGCCGCGCGUCCGGAGCGAAGCUUGAUUUUCGGAACAGGUGUUUUCCUAAAUCUUCAGGAUUUAUAAGGUGGAUUCUCUCCAACAUAUUAACCUUUUUUUUAUUUUAAGCUAAUUCAACUACUUUUGUAUUUUGGUUUACAUUUAUAUUAAUUGAUGGUUUACACUAGAUUGUGACUUAUACGUUCCUAAA